CCUACGGGAGGCAGCAGUGGGGAAUAUUGGACAAUGGGGGAAACCCUGAUCCAGCGACGCCGCGUGAGUGAAGAAGUAUUUCGGUACGUAAAGCUCUAUCAGCAGGAAAGAAAAUGACGGUACCUGACUAAGAAGCCCCGGCUAACUACGUGCCAGCAGCCGCGGUAAUACGUAGGGGGCAAGCGUUAUCCGGGUUUACUGGGUGGAAAGGGAGCGUAGACGGCAGCGCAAGUCUGGAGGGAAAUGCCGGGGCCCAACCCCGGGACUGCUCUGGAAACUGUGAAGCUGGAGUGCAGGAGGGGUAAGCGGAAUUCCUGGUGUAGCGGUGAAAUGCGUAGAUAUCAGGAGGAACACCGGCGGCGAAGGCGGCUUACUGGACUGUAACUGACGUUGAGGCUCGAAGGCGUGGGGAGCAAACAGGAUUAGAUACCCCGGUAGUC
rnacentral:rRNA from 1 species